CGUAGGGCGCAAGCGUUGUCCGGAAUUAUUGGGCGUAAAGAGCUCGUAGGUGGUUUGUCGCGUCUGGUGUGAAAUCCCGGGGCUUAACUUCGGGCGUGCAUCGGGUACGGGCAGGCUAGAGUGCGGUAGGGGAGACUGGAAUUCCUGGUGUAGCGGUGGAAUGCGCAGAUAUCAGGAGGAACACCGAUGGCGAAGGCAGGUCUCUGGGCCGCAACUGACGCUGAGGAGCGAAAGCAUGGGGAGCGAACAGGA
rnacentral:rRNA from 1 species